CACAGACAUACAGCACCCACACACAUUCAGCACCCACAGACAUACACAGCACCCACACACAUUCAGCACCCACAGACAUGCACAGCACCCACAGACAUACAGCACCCACACAGCACCCACACACAUACUGCACCCACAGACAUACACAGCACCCACAGACAUACACAGCACCCACACACAUUCAGCACCCACAGACAUACAGCACCCACAGACAUACAGCACCCACAGACACACAGCACCCACAGACAUACACAGCACCCACAGACAUACACAGCACCCACAGACAUACACAGAACCC